AAGGAAGUGGCAGAGUGGUUAUGCGACUGGCUUGAAACCAGUACAUGGGGGUUCAAUUCCUCCCUUCCUCG
rnacentral:tRNA from 3 species